rnacentral:lncRNA from 1 species
AAACCAUAGUCAAAGUUCUUGCCUGUAGUUUCUUCGCUCCCUCUGCCUCCUGAUGGGCAUCUCCGUAUGGCCUUUAUGGUGCGGUGCCCCUUCCUCUUGGGAACUAUGAAGAAAUGACAUUUAGAGACAUUGAUUUCCUUGCUCAGUAAUCGAAUGCCAAGCACACCUGAGAGAACUGUAAGAUCUGGAGCAGACAUGCCUGGAUGGCUACCUGGGAGGACACGAAAGAACUGGGCAUCUUCUGGCCAUUUGCUGGGAAAUGGUGAUGACCAUUAUAGACAUGGAAGUCCUCUUCUGUGGAUCAGUGGCACUGCCCCAAGCCAUAGAACAAAAAGUGAUGACCGGAGCGGGGCAUGGAGGAUCCUAAUGCUGGUGAGGAGUGAGGAAUGGACAAGGAUACCUGAGCUCACAGAAUCAGGAUUGCUACCUCCCUUUCUAGAGACAGAAUACAAGGGCCACUAUGGGAAUCUUUGCCUGAUGGGAUCGAUUUGGGGAGCAGUACAUAGACCCUUUCUGCCCAGUGCCUUUUGCAAAUGGCAUUGGGGCAGAGGAGUUCUGUGUAUUGCCCCCCAUAUGAUUAUUACACGAUUAUUAAAUCUAACUCAUUUUCAAAAAGAGAGAUACAGAACCACCAAUUACAGUUUUUGA